AACAAGAAUGUGUCCAUAGUACACGGAUGCCCCACUCCCACUAUCAUUUUCUAUGUUCAGUGGGGGUGGACCGUGAAAUUGGAGUCAAAACUUUAAUUUGGAAUUAAAAUUAGAAAGAUCAUAUCAUAGGGAACAUGUGUACUAAGUUUAAAGUUGAUGUAACUUUAACUUCAUCAAAAACUACCUUGACCAAAAACUUUAACCUGAACUUUGCACUAUCAUUUUCUAUGUUCAGUGGACCAUGAAAUUGGGAUCAAAACUAUAAUUUGGCAUUAAAAUUAGAAAGAUCAUAUCAUGGGGAACAU
rnacentral:lncRNA from 1 species